UACUCCUACGGGAGGCAGCAGUAAGGAAUAUUGGUCAAUGGAGGGAACUCUGAACCAGCCAUGCCGCGUGAAGGAUGACGGCCCUCUGGGUUGUAAACUUCUUUUGGAUGGGGCGAAAAAACGGGAUUUAUCCUGGACUGACGGUACCAUCAGAAUAAGCACCGGCUAACUCCGUGCCAGCAGCCGCGGUAAU
rnacentral:rRNA from 1 species